rnacentral:rRNA from 1 species
GACGUCUUUUAAUUUUUUGAAGACCUUUUUCGAAAGGUAUGCUUAAAGAGGGGCUUGCGACACAUUAGUUAGUUGGUAGGGGUAAAAGCCUACCAAGACUAUGAUGUGUAGCUGGACUGAGAGGUCGAACAGCCACAUUGGGACUGAGACACGGCCCAAACUCCUACGGGAGGCAGCAGUAGGGAAUUUUCGGCAAUGGAGGAAACUCUGACCGAGCAACGCCGCGUGAACGAUGAAGUAUUUCGGUAUGUAAAGUUCUUUUAUUGAAGAAGAAAAAAUAGUGGAAAAACUAUAUUGACGCUAUUCAAUGAAUAAGCCCCGGCAAACUAUGUGCCAGCAGCCGCGGUAAUACAUAGGGGGCAAGCGUUAUCCGGAAUUAUUGGGCGUAAAGGGUGCGUAGGCGGUUUAAUAAGUCUGUAGUUUAAUUUCAGUGCUUAACACUGUCCUGCUAUAGAAACUAUUAGACUAGAGUGAGAUAGAGGUAAGCGGAAUUCCAUGUGUAGCGGUAAAAUGCGUAAAUAUAUGGAGGAACACCAGAGGCGUAGGCGGCUUACUGGGUCUUUACUGACGCUGAGGCACGAAAGCGUGGGGAGCAAACAGGAUUAGAUACCCUGGUAGUCCACGCCGUAAACGAUGAGUACUAAGUGUCGGGGAAACUCGGUACUGAAGUUAACACAUUAAGUACUCCGCCUGAGUAGUACGUACGCAAGUAUGAAACUUAAAGGAAUUGACGGGACUCCGCACAAGCGGUGGAUCAUGUUGUUUAAUUCGAAGAUACACGAAAAACCUUACCAGGUCUUGACAUACUCUGCAAAGCUAUAGCAAUAUAGUGGAGGUUAUCAGGGAUACAGGUGGUGCAUGGUUGUCGUCAGCUCGUGUCGUGAGAUGUUAGGUUAAGUCCUAAAACGAGCGCAACCCUUAUCGUUAGUUACCAGCAUGUUAUGAUGGGGACUUUAACGAGACUGCCAAUGAAAAAUUGGAGGAAGGUGAGGAUCACGUCAAAUCAUCAUGCCCCUUAUGAUCUGGGCUACAAACGUGAUACAAUGGCUGUUACAAAGAGUAGCUAAAACGCGAGUUUAUAGCCAAUCUCAAAAAAACAGUCUCAGUUCGGAUUGAAGUCUGCAACUCGACUUCAUGAAGUUGGAAUCGCUAGUAAUCGCGAAUCAGCAUGUCGCGGUGAAUACGUUCUCGGGGUUUGU